AUUGAACGCUGGCGGCAGGCCUAACACAUGCAAGUCGAGCGAGCGGCGGACGGUUGAGUAAUGUCUGGGAACCUGCCUGAUGGCGGGGGAUAAAUACUGGAAACGGUGGCUAAUCCCGCAUUCCAUCAUAUUUGCCCAGAUGGAAUUAGCUAGUCGGUGGGGUCACGGCUCACCUAGGCGACGAUCCCUAGCUGGUCUGAGAGGAUGACCCGCCACACUGGAACUGAGACACGGUCCAGACGCCUACGGGAGGCAGCAGUGGGGAAUAUUGCACAAUGGGCUCAAGCCUGAUGCAGCAAUGCCGCGUGUGUGAAGAAGGCUUUCGGGUUGUAAAGAACUUUCAGCGGGGAGGCGUUACCCGCAGAAGAAGCACCGGCUAACUCCGUGCCAGCAGCCGCGGUAAUAC
rnacentral:rRNA from 1 species